rnacentral:lncRNA from 1 species
GGAGUCACGCGAAGUCGGAAGUACCAGCUGCGGGAAGGAGCUGCCCACUGUGCGUCUUCUCAACUUGUUGGGACAACCUUCCUGCGGAAAGGAGAGACAACCUUCCUGCAGAAAGGAGCUACCUGCUUCAGGUCUACUGAGAGCUGUUCUGCCACUCAAUAAAGCUCUUCUCCAUCUUGCUAAGCCUCCAUUUGUCCGCAAUACCUCAUCUCCCUGGACGCAGGACAAGAACUCAGGACCCGCCUGGAGGUACUAAAAGAGCUUUAACACAAACAGGGCUGAAACACGCUCCCUUGCUUGCCACAUUGCGGGUGACGAGAAGGAGAAAAGAGCUGUGUUCCUUUGAGGAUCCCAGACCUAGGGUCUCCCUGAGCCAGGGCUGUGACACUCCCUUUGGGGUUCUAUGGUUCCUGGCAUCUUCAAGCUUCCAGGCGCCACCACCUUCGUUCCCUUCAUCCAAACAGGUGCCCACAGCAGAAUCCACAUGCCGUCCAUCUGGUCCAGCCUCACGCAGAGCCACAACUGUGCUGGCGCCUGGAGCUGCCAGCCCCACUGCAGCAGCCGGACUGACAUUCAGACGUGGAGCAAGUUGGACUGCAUAGGGACCCACCAGUGAGAUGGACGCUGUCUGUAAACGAUGCGGAAAUUGAACAAUAGGAAGAUUCAACACAAUGUAGUCAGGAUAAGAAUGAAUGAGAAGAGGCCCAGUCCUUAGGAGGAAUUGUAACCAAGUUUCAUCUGUAGAUCUCCCAGUGAUCCUCCAGCCUUGAAUUUGUUUUAA